rnacentral:piRNA from 1 species
UGCCAAUGGAGGCCAUAGAUUGGUGCUA